UACGGAAGGCAGCAGUAGGGAAUCUUCCGCAAUGGACGAAAGUCUGACGGAGCAACGCCGCGUGAACGAUGAAGGCUUUCGGGUCGUAAAGUUCUGUUGUUAGGGAAGAACAAGUACCAGAGUAACUGCUGGUACCUUGACGGUACCUAACCAGAAAGCCACGGCUAACUACGUGCCAGCAGCCGCGGUAAUACGUAGGUGGCAAGCGUUGUCCGGAAUUAUUGGGCGUAAAGCGCGCGCAGGUGGUUCCUUAAGUCUGAUGUGAAAGCCUACGGCUCAACCGUGGAGGGUCAUUGGAAACUGGGGACUUGAGUGCAGAAGAGGAAAGUGGAAUUCCACGUGUAGCGGUGAAAUGCGUAGAGAUGUGGAGGAACACCAGUGGCGAAGGCGACUUUUCUGGUCUGUAAACUGACACUGAGGCGCGAAAGCGUGGGGAGCGAACAGGGAUUAGAUACC
rnacentral:rRNA from 1 species